UACAGAGGUCCCAAGCGUUGUUCGGAUUCACUGGGCGUAAAGGGUGCGUAGGUGGCCAGGUAAGUUUGAUGUGAAAGCUCGGAGCUUAACUCCGAAAUGGCAUUGAAUACUAUCUGGCUUGAGGGUCGGAGGGGAGACUGGAAUUCUCGGUGUAGCAGUGAAAUGCGUAGAUAUCGAGAGGAACACCAGUGGCGAAGGCGAGUCUCUGGACGACACCUGACACUGAGGCACGAAAGCUAGGGAGCAAACAGG
rnacentral:rRNA from 1 species